GAUGAACGCUGGCGGCGUGCUUAACACAUGCAAGUCGAACGGUGAACCCGGAGCUUGCUCUGUGGGAUCAGUGGCGAACGGGUGAGUAACACGUGAGCAACCUGCCCCUGACUCUGGGAUAAGCGCUGGAAACGGCGUCUAAUACUGGAUAUGUGAUGUGACCGCAUGGUCUGCGUUUGGAAAGAUUUUUCGGUUGGGGAUGGGCUCGCGGCCUAUCAGCUUGUUGGUGAGGUAAUGGCUCACCAAGGCGUCGACGGGUAGCCGGCCUGAGAGGGUGACCGGCCACACUGGGACUGAGACACGGCCCAGACUCCUACGGGAGGCAGCAGUGGGGAAUAUUGCACAAUGGGCGCAAGCCUGAUGCAGCAACGCCGCGUGAGGGAUGACGGCCUUCGGGUUGUAAACCUCUUUUAGCAGGGAAGAAGCGAAAGUGACGGUACCUGCAGAAAAAGCGCCGGCUAACUACGUG
rnacentral:rRNA from 1 species